rnacentral:rRNA from 1 species
UAACUCACUGGCCUCUCUGCCCUUCACUCUGGAAAAAACUUGGAAACGGGGUCUAAUACCGGAUAUCACUAAAACUUUCAUGGCUGGGGGUUGAAAGCUCCGGCGGUGAAGGAUAGCCCGCGGCCUAUCACUUGUUGGUGAGGUAAUGGCUCACCUAGGCGACGACGGGUAGCCGGCCUGAGAGGGCGACCGGCCACACUGGGACUGAGACACGGCCCAGACUCCUACGGGAGGCAGCAGUGGGGAAUAUUGCACAAUGGGCGAAAGCCUGAUGCAUCCACGCCGCGUGAGGGAUGAUUGCCUUCGGGUUGUAUACCUCUUUCAUCAGGGAAGAAGCGAAAGUGACGGUACCUGCAGAACAAGCGCCGGCUAACUACGUGCCAGCAGCCGCGGUAAUACGUAGGGCGCAAGCGUUGUCCGGAAUUAUUGGGCGUAAAGAGCUCGUAGGCGGUCUGUCUCGUCGGAUGUGAAAGCCCGGGGCUUAACCCCGGGUCUGCAUUCGAUACGGGCAGACUAGAGUGUGGUAGGGGAGAUCGGAAUUCCUGGUGUAGCGGUGAAAUGCGCAGA